GACGAACGCUGGCGGCGUGCCUAAUACAUGCAAGUCGAGCGCAGGAAAUCGACGGAACCCUUCGGGGGGAAGUCGACGGAAUGAGCGGCGGACGGGUGAGUAACACGUAAAGAACCUGCCCUCAGGUCUGGGAUAACCACGAGAAAUCGGGGCUAAUACCGGAUGGGUCAUCGGACCGCAUGGUCCGAGGAUGAAAGGCGCUUCGGCGUCGCCUGGGGAUGGCUUUGCGGUGCAUUAGCUAGUUGGGGGGGUAAUGGCCCACCAAGGCGACGAGGCAUAGCCGACCUGGGAGGGUGAUCGGCCACACUGGGACUGAGACACGGCCCAGACUCCUACGGGAGGCAGCAGUAGGGAAUCGUCCACAAUGGACGAAAGUCUGAUGGAGCAACGCCGCGUGAACGAUGAAGGCCUUCGGGUCGUAAAGUUCUGUUGUAAGGGAAGAACAAGUGCCGCAGGCAAUGGCGGCACCUUGACGGUACCUUGCGAGAAAGCCACGGCUAACUACGUGCCAGCCGCCGCAGUAA
rnacentral:rRNA from 1 species